rnacentral:rRNA from 1 species
AUGGCGUGUUGGAAUAAAGUCUCUCCGGUCUUUCCCUACCUCGACGACGUCCGAUCCGGCGCCGGCGAAGGGCCUGUGAGAGUUUGUGUCCCCAGAUCGGUUGGUUCCCUUCAGAUCUUGGCAGUUGGUGUGUCUUUCAAGGAGUACUUUUGGCUGGCGUUUGGUGUGGCGACCACGACAUCUUCUUCUGUGUUGUUCUGUGGCUUAACCCGAUUUCUCCAACCCUCUGAUCUGGUGGUGGUGGAUUGCAAGCUUGUUCUGCUUGGGGUGAUGCUCCAGCCGAUGCUGCUUCAACGACUUUUAGAUCUCGUCUCAAGGGGCGAGUGGCUAUUGCGGUCUUCAAAGCCUUGUGUGGCGAGGGCAUUUGCAGGUUUUGCUUUUCUUUGCUGUUGGUUCAGUGCAAUUUUCAAUCACCGGCGGGCAGCGUACAAUCAGAGGAAGAAGAAGACUAGUAUGCUUUUUAUUGUAAUUUUAUUUUUUACUGGUCGUUCUACGUCCAGUUGUCUAUCCUUUGUACUGGCCUUUGUUUUCCUCGAUGAUAAUCAGAUUUAA